rnacentral:rRNA from 1 species
CUCCUACGGGAGGCAGCAGUGGGGAAUAUUGGACACUGUGGCGAAAGCCUGAUCCAGCCAUGCCGCGUGUGUGAAGAAGGCCUUUUGGUUGUAAAGCACUUUAAGUGAGGAGGAGGCUACUUAGAUUAAUACUCUAGGAUAGUGGACGUUACUCGCAGAAUAAGCACCGGCUAACUCUGUGCCAGCAGCCGCGGUAAUACAGAGGGUGCGAGCGUUAAUCGGACUUACUGGGCGUAAAGCGUGCGUAGGCGGCUUCUUAAGUCGGAUGUGAAAUCCCUGAGCUUAACUUAGGAAUUGCAUUCGAUACUGGGAAGCUAGAGUAUGGGAGAGGAUGGUAGAAUUCCAGGUGUAGCGGUGAAAUGCGUAGAGAUCUGGAGGAAUACCGAUGGCGAAGGCAGCCAUCUGGCCUAAUACUGACGCUGAGGUACGAAAGCAUGGGGAGCAAACAGGAUUAGAUACCCUGGUAGUCCAUGCCGUAAACGAUGUCUACUAGCCGUUGGGGCCUUUGAGGCUUUAGUGGCGCAGCUAACGCGAUAAGUAGACCGCCUGGGGAGUACGGUCGCAAGACUAAAACUCAAAUGAAUUGACGGGGGCCCGCACAAGCGGUGGAGCAUGUGGUUUAAUUCGAUGCAACGCGAAGAACCUUACCUGGUCUUGACAUAGUAAGAACUUUCCAGAGAUGGAUUGGUGCCUUCGGGAACUUACAUACAGGUGCUGCAUGGCUGUCGUCAGCUCGUGUCGUGAGAUGUUGGGUUAAGUCCCGCAACGAGCGCAACCCUUUUCCUUAUUUGCCAGCGGGCUAAGCCGGGAACUUUAAGGAUACUGCCAGUGACAAACUGGAGGAAGGCGGGGACGACGUCAAGUCAUCAUGGCCCUUACGACCAGGGCUACACACGUGCUACAAUGGUCGGUACAAAGGGUUGCUACCUAGCGAUAGGAUGCUAAUCUCAAAAAGCCGACCGUGGUCCGGAUUGGAGUCUGCAACUCGACUCCAUGAAGUCGGAAUCGCUAGUAAUCGCGGAUCAGAAUGCCGCGGUGAAUACGUUCCCGGGCCUUGCACACACCGCCCGU